UACGUAGGGUGCAAGCGUUGUCCGGAAUUAUUGGGCGUAAAGAGCUCGUAGGCGGUCUGUCGCGUCUGCUGUGAAAUCCCGAGGCUCAACCUCGGGCCUGCAGUGGGUACGGGCAGACUAGAGUGCGGUAGGGGAGAUUGGAAUUCCUGGUCGUAGCGGUGGAAUGCGCAGAUAUCAGGAGGAACACCGAUGGCGAAGGCAGAUCUCUGGGCCGAUACUGACGCGAGGAGCGAAAGCGUGGGGAGCGAACAGG
rnacentral:rRNA from 1 species